CCAUUGGCUUCAAUAGAAGCCACCCAAAAUUGAAAUAAAAUGCUA
rfam:Cephalotus follicularis DNA, scaffold: scaffold975, isolate: St1.